rnacentral:rRNA from 1 species
UGAAUACGAGACGCUACGGCGUCGAAGCAGUCUAUGUCAUACUUCCAAGAAAAGCUUGCACUGUCAUAAACAAAUAAUGCCUGUACCAUAACCGACACAGGUGGGUAGGUAGAGUAUACUAAGGGGCGCGAGAUAACUCUCUCUAAGGAACUCGGCAAAAUGACUCCGUAACUUCGGGAGAAGGAGUGCCUUAUUUAUAAGGUUGCAAUAACAAGAUCCAAGCAACUGUUUAUCAAAAACACAGGUCUCCGCUAAGUCGUAAGACGAUGUAUGGGGGCUGACGCCUGCCCAGUGCCAGAAGGUUAAAGAAGUUGGUUAGCAUUAGCGAAGCUGAUAACUGAAGCCCUGGUGAACGGCGGCCGUAACAAUAACGGUCCUAAGGUAGCGAAAUUCCUUGUCGGGUAAGUUCCGACCCGCACGAAAGGCGUAAUGAUUUGGAUACUGUCUCGGAGAGGGGCUCGGUGAAAUAGACUUGUCUGUGAAGAUGCGGACUACCUGCACCAGGACAGAAAGACCCUAUGAAGCUUUACUGUAACCUGAAAUUGAAAUUGGACUUUAUUUGCGCAGUAUAGGUGGGAGGCAUUGAGAAUAUUCUUGCGGGGAUGUUGGAGCCAUCAGUGAGAUACCACUCUUGUAAUGUUAGAUUUCUAACUUUGUAUCAUUAUCUGGUCAAAGGACAGUUUCAGGCGGGCAGUUUGACUGGGGCGGUCGCCUCCUAAAUGGUAACGGAGGCGCACAAAGGUUUCCUCUGAACGGGUAGAAAUCGUAUCUAGAGUGUAAAGGCAUAAGGAAGCUUGACUGUGAGACCUACAAGUCGAGCAGGGACGAAAGUCGGUCUUAGUGAUCUGACGGUGCUGAGUGGAAAGGCCGUCACUCAACGGAUAAAAGUUACUCUAAGGAUAACAGGCUGAUCUCCCCCAAGAGUUCACAUCGACGGGGAGGUUUGGCACCUCGAUGUCGGCUCAUCGCAUCCUGGGGCGGUAGUACGUCCCAAGGGUUGGGCUGUUCGCCCAUGAAAGCGGUACGCGAGCUGGGUUCAGAACGUCGUGAGACAGUUCGGUCCAUAUCCGGUGUAGGCGUUAGAGUAUUGAGAGGAGCCUUCUUUGGUACGAGAGGACCGAGAAGGACAUACCUCUGGUGUACCAGUUAUCGUGCCAACGGUAAACGCUGGGUAGCUAUGUAUGGAGAGGAUAACCGCUGAAAGCAUCUAAGUGGGAAGCCCACCUCAAGAUAAG